rnacentral:rRNA from 1 species
GAUGAACGCUGGCGGCGUGCUUAACACAUGCAAGUCGAACGGAAAGGCUCCUGCUUGCAGGGGUACUCGAGUGGCGAACGGGUGAGUAACACGUGGGUGAUCUGCCCUGCACUUCGGGAUAAGCCUUGGAAACUGGGUCUAAUACCGGAUAGGACGAUGGUUUGGAUGCCAUUGUGGACAGUUUUUCGGUGUGGGAUGAGCUCGCGGCCUAUCAGCUUGUUGGUGGGGUAAUGGCCUACCAAGGCGUCGCCGGGUAGCCGGCCUGAGAGGGUGUACGGCCACAUUGGGACUGAGAGACGGACCAGACUCGUACGGGAGGCAGCAGUGGGGAAUAUUGCACAAUGGGCGCAAGCCUGAUGCAGCGACGCCGCGUGGGGGAUGACGGCCUUCGGGUUGUAAACUCCUUUCGCUAGGGACGAAGCGCAAGUGACGGUACCUGGAGAAGAAGCACCGGCUAACUACGUG